UGAACGCUGGCGGCAGGCUUAACACAUGCAAGUCGAACGGUAGCAGGAGAAAGCUUGCUUUCUUGCUGACGAGUGGCGGACGGGUGAGUAAUGCUUGGGAAUCUGGCUUAUGGAGGGGGAUAACUACGGGAAACUGUAGCUAAUACCGCGUAGUGUCGAGAGACGAAAGUGCGGGACCGCAAGGCCGCAUGCCAUGAGAUGAGCCCAAGUGGGAUUAGGUAGUUGGUGGGGUAAAGGCCUACCAAGCCUGCGAUCUCUAGCUGGUCUGAGAGGAUGGCCAGCCACACUGGAACUGAGACACGGUCCAGACUCCUACGGGAGGCAGCAGUGGGGAAUAUUGCGCAAUGGGGGGAACCCUGACGCAGCCAUGCCGCGUGAAUGAAGAAGGCCUUCGGGUUGUAAAGUUCUUUCGGUAUUGAGGAAGGAGUGUAUGUUAAUAGCAUACAUUAUUGACGUUAAAUACAGAAGAAGCACCGGCUAACUCCGUGCCAGCAGCCGCGGUAAUACGGAGGGUGCGAGCGUUAAUCGGAAUAACUGGGCGUAAAGGGCACGCAGGCGGUUAUUUAAGUGAGGUGUGAAAGCCCCGGGCUUAACCUGGGAAUUGCAUUUCAGACUGGGUAACUAGAGUACUUUAGGGAGGGGUAGAAUUCCACGUGUAGCGGUGAAAUGCGUAGAGAUGUGGAGGAAUACCGAAGGCGAAGGCAGCCCCUUGGGAAUGUACUGACGCUCAUGUGCGAAAGCGUGGGGAGCAAACAGGAUUAGAUACCCUGGUAGUCCACGCUGUAAACGCUGUCGAUUUGGGGAUUGGGCUUAAAGCUUGGUGCCCGUAGCUAACGUGAUAAAUCGACCGCCUGGGGAGUACGGCCGCAAGGUUAAAACUCAAAUGAAUUGACGGGGGCCCGCACAAGCGGUGGAGCAUGUGGUUUAAUUCGAUGCAACGCGAAGAACCUUACCUACUCUUGACAUCCAUGGAAUUCUGUAGAGAUACGGGAGUGCCUUCGGGAACCAUGAGACAGGUGCUGCAUGGCUGUCGUCAGCUCGUGUUGUGAAAUGUUGGGUUAAGUCCCGCAACGAGCGCAACCCUUAUCCUUUGUUGCC
rnacentral:rRNA from 1 species